rnacentral:rRNA from 1 species
GGUAGUAGUACACAACAAAACCCAUGAAGGUUGGCGGUUACAACUCACUAGAGGAGCUUGUUUCAUAAUCGACAACACACGAUAAUUUUUACUUAAUUAUUAAAGCUCAUAUACCGCCGUUACAACAGGAAAUUUACAAUAGAAAUCCCACUAAAGAACUAAUCCCUAAAAAAUCAGGUCAAGGUGUCGCCUUUAAUCAAGAAGAAAUUAGCUACUUAUAAAAAUAAUUUAAGAAUUAUAACCCAAAACCGCUAUGAAAGAGAAUCCAUAUUCAUAAUUAACUUAAAAAUUUAAUUAGAAACAUUUAAAGUUGUAAUGC